GACGAACGCUGGCGGCGUGCUUAACACAUGCAAGUCGAACGGAAAGGCCCUGCUUUUGUGGGGUGCUCGAGUGGCGAACGGGUGAGUAACACGUGAGUAACCUGCCCUUGACUUUGGGAUAACUUCAGGAAACUGGGGCUAAUACCGGAUAGGAGCUCCUGCUGCAUGGUGGGGGUUGGAAAGUUUCGGCGGUUGGGGAUGGACUCGCGGCUUAUCAGCUUGUUGGUGGGGUAGUGGCUUACCAAGGCUUUGACGGGUAGCCGGCCUGAGAGGGUGACCGGCCACAUUGGGACUGGGAUGCGGCCCAGACUCCUACGGGAGGCAGCAGUGGGGAAUAUUGCACAAUGGGCGGAAGCCUGAUGCAGCAACGCCGCGUGCGGGAUGACGGCCUUCGGGUUGGAAACCGCUUUCGCCUGUGACGAAGCGUGAGUGACGGUAAUGGGUAAAGAAGCACCGGCUAACUACGU
rnacentral:rRNA from 1 species